rnacentral:rRNA from 1 species
AACGCCGCGUGAGAUGAAGAAGGUUCUUCGGAUCGUAAAACUCUGUUGUGAGGGAAGAACAAGUAUCGGAGUAACUGCCGGUACCUUGACGGUACCUCAUUAGAAAGCCACGGCUAACUACGUG